AACUAUAGAACUGCUUUUGAAACUGCUUAACUAGAGUGUGGGAGAGGCAGAUGGAAUUUCUGGUGUAGGGGUAAAAUCCGUAGAUAUCAGAAGGAAUACCGAUUGCGAAGGCGAUCUGCUGGAACAUUACUGACGCUGAGACGCGAAAGCGUGGGGAGCAAACAGGAUUAGAUACCCUGGUAGUCCACGCCCUAAACGAUGUACACUAGUUGUUGUGGUGCUAGUCACUGCAGUAAUACAGUUAACACAUUAAGUGUACCGCCUGGGGAGUACGGUCGCAAGAUUAAAACUCAAAGGAAUAGACGGGGACCCGCACAAGCGGUGGAGCAUGUGGUUUAAUUCGAAGAUACGCGAAAAACCUUACCUGGCCUUGACAUUGAUAGAAUCUGCUAGAGAUAGCGGAGUGCCGGCUUGCCGGAACUUGAAAACAGGUGCUGCACGGCUGUCGUCAGCUCGUGUCGUGAGAUGUUGGGUUAAGUCCCGCAACGAGCGCAACCCACGUCCUUAGUUGCCAGCAUUUCGGAUGGGAACUCUAAGGAGACUGCCUUCGCAAGGAGGAGGAAGGUGUGGACGACGUCAAGUCAUCAUGGCCCUUACGGCCAGGGCUACACACGUGCUACAAUGGGGCGUACAAAGAGCAGCAAUACCGCGAGGUGGAGUAAAUCUCAAAAACGCCUCCCAGUUCAGAUUGCACUCUGCAACUCGAGUGCAUGAAGUUGGAAUCGCUAGUAAUCGUAGAUCAGCAUUGCUACGGUGAAUACGUUCCCGGGUCUUGUACUCACCGCCCGUCACACCAUGGGAGUUGAUUUUACCCGAAGCGGGGAUGC
rnacentral:rRNA from 1 species